ACAAUAUUAGCAUUUAGCACAGCCUUAAAGACUAGCAGAGAAAGGAUGCAGUUGGUCAAGGUCUAGAACUUUGACAGCUGCAACAACAGCUACGCAGAGCAACACCCAGUAAUAAAAAGAAAAUACUGGAAAAAGAUUAAAACUCAGAGACAAAAGCAAGAAGAACUGAAAAGAUAACUGAAGAGGCUUACUAGGAGUUGAGAUGAGUCUGAGAGACGUGGAGACCCUCAUGAAAUAAUGACAUUAGCAGAAAGCAGGAAAGGGCAUUUUCUGUUCAGAAAGAUAAAACCGAAAAUGCACAGAGAAUUACUUGCGAAGUGACUGCUAAAACAAGAGAGGACAAAACCCAAGCACCAAGCUUCUACAAUGAUCUCCAAAUACCAGCAAUCAAAUACCUGGCCACAUUUCAGCUCCAACAAUUGCAGCUGCAGUCCCACCUCAGCAGAAGUGAGAAAUACAAGCAAGUAAGUGCCAACUGGGUUUCAGUCUCAAAUACUUCAGUAUCUCCUACCCUGAAGGACAUUUUGAACUGCAGUGGUGGUAAAAGCCUUCCUGCAUGAACUCCUUAAGUCUCCUUUACAACAAGCCAUUUACUGAGGAAACAGAGAAGAGUCUGUAUUUUAGCAAAACAACCUGUUUUCCAAGUUCUAAAAAUAGAAAAGAAAAAAAAUAUUAAAAACUGUCCGUCAUUUUGAAAGCACUCACAAGCAUUUCAUCCUAAGCAACACAGCCUCCCCCCUUGCUAAAAAUAAAACAGUACAUUACAGCAACAUUUUUUGCUGGCUUCAGCCAAGGACUUGAAAACCUCCCCUCAGCCCAGACAGGCCGUAAGCUGUGAGUCAGCACUUCUCAGCACUUCUGGAAAUUCCUCAGCAGAGCAUCCACCCUGUAGCAGGAAGCUGCCUGUUCACUUUAGCUGGUACCAGGAAAUGGACGGGCGGUCAUGGACCUCACCUGAGGUGGGGACACAGUUCAAGAAAAUUUCACUAAAGCUACCAAAUGUUCCCCAUCCCACC